rnacentral:rRNA from 1 species
UGGGGAAUUUUGGACAAUGGGCGAAAGCCUGAUCCAGCAAUGCCGCGUGCAGGAAGAAGGCCUUCGGGUUGUAAACUGCUUUUGUACGGAACGAAAAGGCUCUUUCUAAUAAAGAGGGCCCAUGACGGUACCGUAAGAAUAAGCACCGGCUAACUACGUGCCAGCAGCCGCGGUAAUACGUAGGGUGCGAGCGUUAAUCGGAAUUACUGGGCGUAAAGCGUGCGCAGGCGGUUCUAUAAGACAGAUGUGAAAUCCCCGGGCUUAACCUGGGAAUGGCAUUUGUGACUGUAGAGCUAGAGUACGGUAGAGGGGGAUGGAAUUCCGCGUGUAGCAGUGAAAUGCGUAGAUAUGCGGAGGAACACCGAUGGCGAAGGCAAUCCCCUGGACCUGUACUGACGCUCAUGCACGAAAGCGUGGGGAGCAAACAGGAUUAGAUACCCCCGUAGUCCCUGAGCGGGCUGGCAAGGCG